UACGGAGGAUUCGAGCGUUAUCCGGAUUUAUUGGGUUUAAAGGGUGCGUAGGCGGUUUGAUAAGUUAGAGGUGAAAUGUCGGGGCUCAACCCCGAAACUGCCUCUAAUACUGUUGGACUAGAGAAUAGUUGCGGUAGGCGGAAUGUAUGGUGUAGCGGUGAAAUGCUUAGAGAUCAUACAGAACACCGAUUGCGAAGGCAGCUUACCAAACUAUAUCUGACGUUGAGGCACGAAAGCGUGGGUAGCAAACAGG
rnacentral:rRNA from 1 species